rnacentral:rRNA from 1 species
AUUGAACGCUGGCGGCAGGCCUAACACAUGCAAGUCGAGCGGAUGAAGGGAGCUUGCUCCUGGAUUCAGCGGCGGACGGGUGAGUAAUGCCGGGAAACAUCCGGGUCUAGGGGGACGAAGGGCGGAAAGGGGGGCCACUUACGCCAAAACCCCGUAGGAGAAAGGGGGGGAAGCUUGGGACCUCCGGCUCUCGCGUGAUCGUAGGUCGGAUUAGCUAGUUGGGGGGGUAAAGGCCUACCAAGGCGACAAUCCGUAACUGGUCUGAGAGGAUGAUCAGUCACACUGGAACUGAGACACGGUCCAGACUCCUACGGGAGGCAGCAGUGGGGAAUAUUGGACAAUGGGCGAAAGCCUGAUCCAGCCAUGCCGCGUGUGUGAAGAAGGUCUUCGGAUUGUAAAGCACUUUAAGUUGGGAGGAAGGGCAGUAAGUUAAUACCUUGCUGUUUUGACGUUACCAACAGAAUAAGCACCGGCUAACUUCGUG